rnacentral:lncRNA from 1 species
GCCUUCUUCAACUCCCCAGCAGAAUCAUUCACCCCUAUAAGAGAAGAUCAUAAGAAUCAUGACAUGUCUAAUGAUGUUCGUCUCUCUAAAUUUUUAUAAGAUUAUCAAUGGAAUACAGAAUAGCUGUUAAAACGAAAGCUGGAAAGAUUAUGAAACUAUAGUUUAAUCACCACAGCAAGAAGUGAUAUAAUUUAAUUAGUAGUUUAUCUAGGCAAAGGAUAGU